AUUGAACGCUGGCGGCAGGCUUAACACAUGCAAGUCGAACGGUAACAUAAAGGAGCUUGCUUCUUUGAUGACGAGUGGCGGACGGGUGUGUAAUGCACGGGGAUCUCGCUUAUGUAGGGGGAUAACUACGGGAAACUGUAGCUAAUACCGCGUAGAAUCGGGAGAUGAAAGUGCGGGACCUUCGGGCCCCAUGCCCUAGGAUGAGCCCAGGUGGGAUUAGGUAGUUGGUGAGGUAAAGGGUCACCAAGCCGACGAUCUCUAGCUGGUCUGAGAGGAUGACCAGCCACACUGGGACUGAGACACGGCCCAGACUCCUACGGGAGGCAGCAGUGGGGAAUAUUGCGCAAUGGGGGCAACCCUGACGCAGCCAUGCCGCGUGAAUGAAGAAGGCCUUCGGGUUGUAAAGUUCUUUCGGUAGCGAGGAAGACAUUUAGUUUAAUAGACUAGGUGAUUGACGGUAACUACAGAAGAAGCACCGGCUAACUCCGUG
rnacentral:rRNA from 1 species